UACAGAGGUCCCCAGCGUUGUUCGGAUUUACUGGGCGUAAAGGGCGCGUAGGUGGCCUUCUAAGUCUGAUGUGAAAGCUCUGAGCUUAACUCAGAAAUGGCAUUAGAUACUAGUUUGCUUGAGGAUUGGAGGGGAGAUUGGAAUUCUUGGUGUAGCAGUGAAAUGCGUAGAUAUCAAGAGGAACACCAGUGGCGAAGGCGAAUCUCUGGACAAUUCCUGACACUGAUGCUCGAAAGCUAGGGGAGCAAACGGG
rnacentral:rRNA from 1 species